rnacentral:rRNA from 1 species
GGGAAUAUUGCACAAUGGGGGAAACCCUGAUGCAGCGACGCCGCGUGAGUGAGGAAGUAUUUCGGUAUGUAAAGCUCUAUCAGCAGGGAAGAAAAUGACGGUACCUGACUAAGAAGCUCCGGCUAACUACGUGCCAGCAGCCGCGGUAAUACGUAGGGGGCAAGCGUUAUCCGGAUUUACUGGGUGUAAAGGGAGCGUAGACGGUUAAUCAAGUCAGAAGUGAAAACCCAGGGCUCAACCUUGGGACUGCUUUUGAAACUGAGUAGCUAGAGUGCAGGAGAGGUAAGCGGAAUUCCUAGUGUAGCGGUGAAAUGCGUAGAUAUUAGGAGGAACACCAGUGGCGAAGGCGGCUUACUGGACUGUAACUGACGUUGAGGCUCGAAAGCGUGGGGAGCAAACAGG